CCUACGGGCGACAGCAGUGGGGGAUAUUGCACAAUGGGGGGAACCCUGAUGCAGCGACGCCGCGUGGGUGAAGAAGCACCUCGGCGCGUAAAGCCCUGUCAGCAGGGAAGAAAAUGACGGUACCUGACGAAGAAGCCCCGGCUAACUACGUGCCAGCAGCCGCGGUAAUACGUAGGGGGCAAGCGUUAUCCGGAUUUACUGGGUGUAAAGGGAGCGCAGACGGCGAAGCAAGCCAGGAGUGAAAGGCCGGGGCCCAACCCCGGGACUGCUUUGGGAACUGCGUGGCUGGAGUGCAGGAGGGGUAAGCGGAAUUCCUGGUGUAGCGGUGAAAUGCGUAGAUAUUAGGAGGAACACCAGUGGCGAAGGCGGCCUGCUGGACUGUAACUGACGUUGAGGCUCGAAAGCGUGGGGAGCAAACAGGAUUAGAUACCCUUGUAGUC
rnacentral:rRNA from 1 species